rnacentral:rRNA from 1 species
GAUGAACGCUGGCGGCGUGCUUAACACAUGCGAGUCGAACGAAGCAUUUGCGACAGAUUUUUUCGGAAUGAAGUUGCUUAUGACUGAGUGGCGGACGGGUGAGUAACGCGUGGGUAACCUGCCUUGUACUGGGGGAUAGCAGCUGGAAACGGCUGGUAAUACCGCAUAGGCGCACAAUGUUGCAUGACAUGGUGUGAAAAACUCCGGUGGUAUAAGAUGGACCCGCGUCUGAUUAGCUAGUUGGUGAGAUAACAGCCCACCAAGGCGACGAUCAGUAGCCGACCUGAGAGGGUGACCGGCCACAUUGGGACUGAGACACGGCCCAGACUCCUACGGGAGGCAGCAGUGGGGAAUAUUGCACAAUGGAGGAAACUCUGAUGCAGCGACGCCGCGUGAGUGAAGAAGUAAUUCGUUAUGUAAAGCUCUAUCAGCAGGGAAGAUAGUGACGGUACCUGACUAAGAAGCUCCGGCUAAAUACGUG